UGUUAUUAUUAAUUAAGAUGUAGGUUAGGUUAUUGUUUUCAUCCAUUGUCAUCACAGGCUAUUAUGAAUAAACAUAUUCGUACAUCGUAAUGUAGGUACAUUUAAACUCGCAGACUUUUGAGGUUGUUAUACCAAGCGCCAUGUUUUGCUGCAGCAGUAGAAAAUCCGAAAAGGGCAGUAUAAGCCCCAUGUCAUUGAUUAUAUACUUAUAUAAUCAAUGCCCAUGUUCACAAAUCGUAACCCAAGACAUUUCAAAUACCUACGAAUCACUCAUAAACGGGACGGCUACUACGGUGAUAAAACUGGGACGAUCCUACUGGCAUAAGUACACAAAUUUGGUUUCCUACCGCCUCCAAUAAGACAGUCCGAUCGUAUAUAACAACCGACACAAACAGGCCGUCACGUAACUGCAUUGUUAGUGCACCACAUCAACGGACCAACACUCACCGAGAGCAAGAAGGAAUGGGCCAUCAAAAUUAGGCUGUAUAAGACCAUGCACCAAGUCGUUCACUUCUUCGUACAAAGAUGCCUUGCAAGUGGUCGUGCCAUUGCAAACCCGAAUGCAACGGCAGUAAGAUCACAAAGUUUCUAACGUGCUACAAGAUUUCGGUUUGAAGUUGUCUGAGCCGGAGCAGUACAAGACGACAUUGCCAUAGACAAGAGAAAGAUUACCAAAACCGUGGGAUAUAAUCGAAUAAAAGCCGAUUUACAGUUACUCAAGUCACGUUGCGGUCAAUUAUUACAGUCUGUAUUUCUUAAGGCCAAUUCACUAUAACUAAGGUGCACUUUUUUAUUAUUGUGUAGUUUAUUAUUAUUUAAUGUUUAACAUAUUAGUAAGCAAUAAAAAGUUUACAUAUUUA